rnacentral:rRNA from 1 species
AACGAACGCUGGCGGCAGGCUUAACACAUGCAGGUCGAGCGCCCCGCAAGGGGAGCGGCAGACGGGUGAGUAACGCGUGGGAACGUACCUUUUGGUUCGGAACAACUCCGGGAAACUGGAGCUAAUACCGGAUAAGCCCUAACGGGGAAAGAUUUAUCGCCGAAAGAUCGGCCCGCGUCUGAUUAGCUGGUUGGUGAGGUAACGUCUCACCAAGGCGACGAUCAGUAGCUGGUCUGAGAGGAUGAUGAGCCACACUGGGACUGAGACACGGCCCAGACUCCUACGCGAGGCAGCAGAGGGGAGUAUUGGACACUGGGCGCAAGCCUGAUCCAGCCAUGCCGCGUGAGUGAUGAAGGCCUUAGGGUUGUAAAGCUCUUUUGUCCGGGAAGAUAAUGACGGUACCGGAAGAAGAAGCCCCGGCUAACUUCGUG